UACGGAGGGGGCUAGCGUUGUCCGAAGUUACUGGGCGUAAAGCGCGCGUAGGCGGGUUGGUAAGUCCGCUGUGAAAGCCCGGAGCUUAACUCCGGAGGGUCGGUGGAUACUGCCAGUCUUGAAGGUGCUAGGGGGAGAUGGAAUUACCGGUGUAGCGGUGAAAUGCGCAGAUAUCAGGAGGAACACCGGUGGCGAAGGCGGGUCUCUGGGCCGUAACUGACGCUGGAGGAGCGAAAGCAUGGGGAGCGAACAGG
rnacentral:rRNA from 1 species